AGAUUUAAAAUAAAGUAAAAUGCUUUGUGAAUUGUAUUCAUGUCUAAAGAUGAGUAAAAUUGGACUUGUUCUUUGUGUUGUGCAAAAUAAAACCAUAAUGAAAUGUGGGAAACUAACCAAAAACAAAAUCCAUUUAAAUUAAGAGUUACAAUAUUUGUCAUAACUUAAACAUAUGAUUCUUUUCAUGGAACUUACUUUUUGUAUUUGAAAUUACCAAUUUACGUCAUUAGAUUUCAAUACUGAAUAUUUAAAAAAAACCUUACCACUGUUUGAAAAAUAGGUUGUUACAAAAAUGUUCUUGAAUAAGGAGUUGGUUCGAUGGUCAUUAUGCAUUAAUUCAUGGGCAUCAAUUAAUAAAUAUAAAUACAUAGAUCAAGUGAUAAGUAUUAUGUUAUAAAAAUAUAUGAAAAUUACUGAAUGGUUUGCUUCUAAAAAACGGUUAGAAUAUGUUUAGAAAAACUGAUGUAAGUAAUACGAAGUAUCAGAUCAAACAAAUAAUACGAAGCCUGAAUACGUAAGAUCAGGACCAAGACUAAAUAAGCAAAACCUAGACCGAAAAGAAAGACCAAUAAAUACCAAGAUUGUUCCAGUCUUAA